AACACACUCAUCCAGCCUGACAGGUCGAGGCGACAUUUGAUUGCUAGUAAAAAAAAGCCCCACAGAUCUCGCAUCGGCUCUUACUCACUUCUUUCCCAUAACCACGCAACCAACCCACUGCAGGUCGUAAGUGUUCAUAGACACUUUGAGGGUGUGUCCCAUCCCAAAGUGGCUGCAUUAAAGUCUGUGAAGAAGAGAUCCAGAAGAAGUGCACCCAAGAGAAAGAAGAACGCAAGGAAUAACACAUGCUCAUGAGAGGCUCUUUGAAGCACUUAAGCUGUACUUCCUGUUAACGUUCUAGCUCAUUUACUUAAAGAGUGCCAUGAGAUCACACAGACUCUGUGCAGAUAAUGUGCUCACAAUUAAUGACAAUAAUUGGACAGUCCCACAUUUAAUUAUCUAACAUAAACAAAAAUGACUUAAAUAUAAACAAAUAUAUACAGCAUACUACGCUUUGAAAUAUGCAUACUACUCAUUUAGAAGAAAGAUUAUAGUUGAAUUACCUUUUGCUAAUAUGAUUCUGAACAAUGUUGUACUAAGUUAUAUAAGUCUCUAUACACUGCUUAAACAAAUAUAUCUUUUGUAGAUUUAUGAUUAAAUAAACUUUAAUUUGAAUGGUCUGAA